rnacentral:rRNA from 1 species
CAGCAGCCGCGGUAACACGGAGGGUGCAAGCGUUAAUCGGAUUUACUGGGCGUAAAGCGUGCGUAGGCGGCUUUUUAAGUCGGAUGUGAAAUCCCUGAGCUUAACUUAGGAAUUGCAUUCGAUACUGGGAAGCUAGAGUAUGGGAGAGGAUGGUAGAAUUCCAGGUGUAGCGGUGAAAUGCGUAGAGAUCUGGAGGAAUACCGAUGGCGAAGGCAGCCAUCUGGCCUAAUACUGACGCUGAGGUACGAAAGCAUGGGGAGCAAACAGGAUUAGAGACCCCAGUAGUCCCUGUCUCUUAUAC